rnacentral:rRNA from 1 species
GAUGAACGCUGACAGAAUGCUUAACACAUGCAAGUCGAUGGGGAAGGCUGAGCUUGCUUAGCUGGUAACCAUGGCGGACGGGUGAGUAACGCGUAAGGAACUUACCUGCGGGACUGGGAUAACGGAGGGAAACUUCUGACAAGACCGGAUAAAGUUACUGGGCAGCAUUGUUUGGUAAUGAAAGGAGACGCCUGCGGAGAGUCUUGCGUCCUAUUAGCUAGUUGGUUGGGUAACGGCUGACCAAGGCGAAGAUAGGUAGCCGGCCUGAGAGGGUGGACGGCCACAAGGGGACUGAGAUACGGCCCUUACUCCUACGGGAGGCAGCAGUGGGGAAUAUUGGACAAUGGGGGCAACCCUGAUCCAGCAAUUCUGUGUGCACGAAGAAGGUUUUCGGAUUGUAAAGUGCUUUCAGCAGGGAAGAAGGAAGUGACGGUACCUGCAGAAGAAGCGACGGCUAAAUACGUGCCAGCAGCCGCGGUAAUACGUAUGUCGCGAGCGUUAUCCGGAAUUAUUGGGCAUAAAGGGCAUCUAGGCGGCCUAACAAGUCAGGGGUGAAAACCUGCGGCUCAACCGCAGGCCUGCCUUUGAAACUGUAAGGCUGGAGUACCGGAGAGGUGGACGGAACUGCACGAGUAGAGGUGAAAUUCGUAGAUAUGUGCAGGAAUGCCGAUGAUGAAGAUAGUCCACUGGACGGAAACUGACGCUGAAGUGCGAAAGCCGGGGGAGCGAACAGG